AAAAUUAAACUCAGCCUGUGAUAUGGCUGUUUAGAGAGACAUUCCUUUUGUUUCAGGAUGGAAGGCAACAUCAUUCUGUAGCACCACAUUGCUUCUGAGUGGACACUUGCCAUUGUCUCAAGCUACCUGUUAGGUUGGGAUCUAACAAGCCAGACAUCUGCUCCUCCAACAGAGCUGCUAACACUACCAACAGGACAUUCUGAAAAUCGUGUCAAAUGUAAUUCACUUUAAAAUGGAAGCACCAACGCUGGCAUCAGCAGAGUCCUUCAAAGAAUUUGAUUCAGUGGAGGCCAACUCAACAAAAUAGAAAGCCCCAGAUGGACAGCCAUUGGCUGCACCUGGAGCAGACAAUUGAGAGGCCUGGCUCAUGGAUGGGUUUGAACCACCUCAGGACUGAAGAUGAGCGGCUCAGUUUCACUAACAACAAGAACAGUGACAAAUUCCCUGCCCGGCCCAAGCUCUGUGGUCCUUAUGCAGAUGCCAGUGGCACCCCUGUCCCAGAUGUGACAACCAAAAAUGAUGUCAGACAUUGCUGAAUUGUCCCCUGGAGGAGGAGAAAAAUCAACCCCUUUGAGAACUGCUGGGCAGCUCUAAAGGUCAUCCCUAAGUUCAGGGUGAGGAGAUGACCUACCCUUCUGCCCCGCAACGCCAUCCUACAUCUGAAAUUCUUCUUAAGGGCAUGGUGGAAACCCUUACCUUUGAGAUGAGCCCAGUACCAGCACUAACAUAUGGAACCAUAGAGUUGACACUGGAGGAACCCCCAGGUUUCAUUUGAGAGGACACUGGAGUUCAGCGUGGAAGAAAGGCCUGCCCAAAGUCACACAGCCCAGGGCUCCUGGCAGGGAGCCACGGCUGCUUUCUCUGCUCCAUACUGGAAUUAAAGGUUGAAUUCCAGGCAAUUUUCCAGUUCCUAGUCCCACUGGAUGGAAAGUCAACACACCUGGUUCUCUCAGUGAUCUGAAAUCACAUGCAGAAAUCCACUCCUUAGUCACAAAGAGAAGUUAGUGGAAGUGUGUUUUGUUCCUAGUUAUCCUCUCCAAAGGUUCAGCCCUUUGCAUUCCCUUAGGAGAAAACAGGGCCUGCCCUCCUCAUGUCUGUCACCUGUCCAAGAUCAUUCCUUCUAUCAUUCACCUCCCAUUAACCAAAAUCCCCUUCUCUAGGUACCUGGGUCUUGGACAGCUGUCAAGUGGAAAGCCUUCUGAUUAACUAAUACUAUAAUGUAAAUGACUGCAAAGUUCCCUCUUGUGAUAACUGAGUCCUGGACAGUGGUCAAGGAAGAAAUCCUUCUUAUUAAUUCCCAGUAAGAUGUGAAUCACUGACAACUAGCUCUCCAAUUGUAUCGUCAAAGAGAGUGCCUGGAGGUUCAAAAUGUUCGUAAUUCCUUUCAUUUGUUUGACAAUUAUAGAAGUUUUGCUCAAAUCUGGGUUUAGUCACUUAGGAGCUUUGACCUUAUUAAAGUUAUUUAACCUCCCUGAGCCUCAGUUACCUCACUGGGAAAAUGAAGAUCAUAAUUAGACCCCAAAAUAUCAGGUGAGAAUUAACUGGGCUCACAGCAUAGCCUCUGACUGAUUAUAGGUGCUUAAUAAAUGUUAGUUCCUUUUGAAAGAUAGAAGUUGCCACCCAUGGAGAUUUUAAAACUUGCUCAAGAGCACUGCUGGUGAGAGCUGGGUCAGAAACAGCAGUUCAGAAGCUUCUAGCAGCGUUGCAAAGUCCCUCCUGGCAGGACAUCAGCAUUGGUCUCAUUCAUUGACACAUGUCUGAGGCCCAUGCCUGGGUACUAGGGAUAUGGGCAAUGUGGAGAGGCUGGUGGGCAGAGUACUUGGAGAGUGGUAGUUGCAUGGGAGUAGUCACAGAAAUCACUGUUUUGGGAGUCUUCAGCAGACUCCAUCACUGUGGCCAAGCUGGGGAGAUGAGGGUGGCUUGAGGUUGGGUUAGACAGGCAGGGCAGAGGUGUGUGGCAUUGUUGAUGGGCCAGGUCAACUUGGAUGAGGUCUCUUGGCAUGCACCUCUCCUAGGGGAUGUGAGAGCUGACCUCUGUGGGGAAAGACCUGGGCUAUCCAUCACCUGUUUGCUCAGGGCAUUAUGCCCUUGUGUGAGAGGCAGCUGAGUGGCCACAGGGCCUCUGCAGCCUCCAAACCUGGGAGACAAAGAGGGGAAGGCUGACUCCCUCUUGGUGAGGAACCAACUUCUUCUAAUUCAAGGAGGCUGGGGCUGCCACCACCUGACAUCAGCCAUGGGGACCGGUUUGUUCUGUCAUGUCUUCAGAGGACUGGCCUUGGAAAGCAGCACUGCUGGAAAUCCUGCUGUAAAGCACAGACUUCUGCCAUGGAGUCCAAGUUUGUCCAAGUUUUCAUGCAAUGGGUUUGCUAAAAGUGGGACCUAUUGUUUUGUUAUAGAAACCUGGGCUAAGGACUCACAGCAGAUAAAAAUAAACUUAUUUCAUUAUCAAAGUAAAACAUGUCCAUUGCAAAGGAUAUAGAAAAUACAAGAAAAGUGAAAUGUUAAAAUCAUGCACAGUGCCAUCCCAAACUCUUACUAAGAUUCUAUGUGUUAUGUUCGUGCAAAAGUAACUGCAGUUUUACCAUUACUUUUAAUGGCAAAUUAAAAGUUUAUUCCCUUUGAUGCAAUAUUGGGACUCUAAUUAAAAGUUACGGCAAACUCGCAAAACCUAAUAUUUUCUUCUACCAUUUUUUCCACAUACAUUUUUGCAGAUGUCAUCUUAGUUUCCUGCCAUUUUGUCACAUGCAUAAACAUAUUUUAAAUUAUUAUAAUAUGCUUAUACAUUUCUUUUGUUUACUGUCUUUUU
rnacentral:lncRNA from 1 species